rnacentral:rRNA from 1 species
AUUGAACGCUGGCGGCAGGCCUAACACAUGCAAGUCGAACGGUAACAGGAAGAAGCUUGCUUCUUUGCUGACGAGUGGCGGACGGGUGAGUAAUGUCUGGGAAACUGCCUGAUGGAGGGGGAUAACUACUGGAAACGGUAGCUAAUACCGCAUAACGUCGCAAGACCAAAGAGGGGGACCUUCGGGCCUCUUGCCAUCGGAUGUGCCCAGAUGGGAUUAGCUAGUAGGUGGGGUACCAGCUCACCUAGGCGACGAUCCCUAGCUGGUCUGAGAGGAUGACCAGCCACCCUGGAACUGAGACACGGGCCAGACACCUACGGGAGGCAGCAGUGGGGAAUAUUGCGCGAUGGGGGCAAGCCUGAUGCAGCCAUGCCGCGUGUAUGAAGAAGGCCUUCGGGUUGUAAAGUACUUUCGGCGGGGAGGAAGGGAAUAAAGUUAAUACCUUUGCUCAUUGACGUUACCCGCAGAAGAAGCACCGGCUAACUCCGUG